rnacentral:rRNA from 1 species
AGUGAACGCUGGCGGUAGGCCUAACACAUGCAAGUCGAACGGCAGCACAGUAAGAGCUUGCUCUUACGGGUGGCGAGUGGCGGACGGGUGAGGAAUACAUCGGAAUCUACUUUUUCGUGGGGGAUAACGUAGGGAAACUUACGCUAAUACCGCAUACGACCUACGGGUGAAAGCAAGGGAUCUUCGGACCUUGCGCGAUUGAAUGAGCCGAUGUCGGAUUAGCUAGUUGGCGAGGUAAAGGCCCACCAAGGCGACGAUCCGUAGCUGAUCUGAGAGGAUGAUCAGCCACACUGGAACUGAGACACGGUCCAGACUCCUACGGGAGGCAGCAGUGGGGAAUAUUCGACAAUGGGCGCAAGCCUGACCCAGCCAUACCGCGUGGGUGAAGAAGGCCUUCGGGUUGUAAAGCCCUUUUGUUGGGAAAGAAAAGCAGCAGGUUAAUACCCCGCUGUUCUGGCGGUACCCAAAGAAUAAGCACCGGCUAACUUCGUG